GACGAACGCUGGCGGCGUGCUUAACACAUGCAAGUCGAACGAAGUGGCGAACGGGUGUGUAACGCGUAAUCAACCUGCCCUUCAGAGGGGGCCAACAGUUGGAAACGACUGCUAAUACCGCAUACUGAAGGAGGGGAUUGAGUCUGAUUAGCUAGUUGGAGGGGUAACGGCCCACCAAGGCGAUGAUCAGUAGCCGGUCUUGGAGGAAGAACGGCCACAUGUGGACUGGGUCACGGCCCAGACUCCUACGGGAGGCAGGAGUGGGGAAUCUUCCGCAAUGGACGAAAGUCUGACGGAGCAAAGCCGCGGGAGUGAUGGCGGCCUUCGGGUUGUAAAGCUCUGUUAAUCGGGACGCGGUACCGGAAUAGAAAGCCACGGCUAACUACGUGCCAGCAGCCGCGGUAAUUC
rnacentral:rRNA from 1 species